CCUACGGGUGGCAGCAGUGAGGAAUAUUGGUCAAUGGGCGGAAGCCUGAACCAGCCAAGUAGCGUGCAGGAUGACGGCCCUACGGGUUGUAAACUGCUUUUAUACGGGAAUAAAGCGCGUUACGUGUAGGGCUUUGCAUGUACCGCAUGAAUAAGGACCGGCUAAUUCCGUGCCAGCAGCCGCGGUAAUACGGAAGGUCCGAGCGUUAUCCGGAUUUAUUGGGUUUAAAGGGAGCGUAGGCGGCCGUUCAAGUCAGCGGUAAAAUGGCGGGGCUCAACCGCGCCCCGCGGGUGAAACUGGAUGCCUUGAGUGCGCGAGAGGUAUGCGGAAUGCGUGGUGUAGCGGUGAAAUGCAUAGAUAUCACGAAGAACUCCGAUUGCGAAGGCAGCCUACCGGAGCGCGACUGACGCUGAGGCUCGAAGGUGCGGGUAUCGAACAGGAUUAGAUACCCUAGUAGUC
rnacentral:rRNA from 1 species